rnacentral:rRNA from 1 species
UACGUAGGGGGCAAGCGUUGUCCGGAUUUAUUGGGCGUAAAGAGCGUGUAGGCGGUUUGGUAGGUCCGCUGUGAAACUCGAGCUCAACCUCGAGACGCCGGUGGAAACCAUCAGACUAGAGUCCGGAAGAGGAGAGUGGAAUUCCGUGGUGUAGCGGUGAAAUGCGCAGAUAUCAGGAAGAACACCCGUGGCUAAGGCGGCUCUCUAGUACGGUACUGACGCUGAGACGCGAAAGCGUGGGGAGCGAACAGG